GUCCAGGGAUGGGAAUCGAACCCACAGUGUUCCGCUUACCAGGCAGAUGCCAUGUCCUACCCUGGACAUGGGUACCCUGGA